rnacentral:lncRNA from 1 species
CUAUAGGUGGGGAUGUCGAGGAUACAAAGAUGAAGGAAGAAGAAUGGCUGUCUUUCUUUCUAUUCAGAAAAGAUCCCAGAUAAUAUACCCUGUGUCAUCAUGGCUUCCAAACAGUAAUCCCUUCUUCAGAAAUUCAUCAGCUUCACAGAAAAUUUUGUUGAACAGCCUAAAAACAGAAGAUCAAGGCAAAACAAUCUGCUGUGUAUUGCAACCUAAGAAGUGAGCUGACCUUCCAUUUAGAGGUAAUUGCUGAAGCCAUACUACUAACACAAAUCGAAGCGGGGGUGGUGGUUAGCCUUAUGAAAUGAAUUGAAAUAAGCCAUGUCUUUUGAAAAUGUAGUAUUUCUUAUUAGAGAAAGUGUACAAUCCAAGAGGAUUUUUUCAGAUAUAGUUAAAAAAUAGAAAAAAAGAAAAAAUAUUAUCAAAAGACUACUUGCAUAUCCAAAGUAAUUUGAGCAUUCAAAACAGAUGAUGUUUAGGUUUAUAGUUGUUUUCAUGAACAGUCCUUCUACAGAAUAGGUUUAUAAUUUCUAACUGGG